rnacentral:lncRNA from 1 species
CGCUGUCUGCGUUAAACCAGCCAGGAGGCAGGCUCAGGAGAAGUGGAAGCCACGGCUUGAGCCCAGGUGGCCUGGCUGCAGAAUCCAACCUGCCGCCCGCUCUGCCCACAGCCCUUCUGCGGCAGCGCCUCUUGGGCCCUCUCCAGCCGGUAAGCUCCCAGGGCCCUCCAAGCUGUGCCCAUGCCAGCUUUCUUGUCUCCUCUCCCUCUGCACAGCAUCGUGCCCUCUGCGUAACCGCCUGGAGGCCCAGCCUCCAGUCCUCACGAAGAGCUCAGGUCCUUCUGCUCCAAAGCCGGCCGCCUGCCUUCAGUCCUCUAGUGCGGCUCUUGGAUACAGCUCCCCGCUGUCUUUUUCUGAAGCCACCGAGGUUUCUCCCACUCUCACUCUUCCUGACACUUGUGAUGCCACUGGAAGCCAAG